CAGAGCCCCUACUGUGUGCAAAGAAAUGAACUGAGCUCUCUGGCCUCACACCCUAAGCCCAACCCUGAUCCACUAAGCACUGGCAGCUUCAGGCCCACCACUGCUGGCCUCCCAUCUCUUUCUCCAAGCAACGGUGCCUGUGUGUUGAGCACUUCCAGACAAACACGCCUGCCAUGAUGGACCACAUUUCUGUGCAGAUGCUGAGUACACACCGUCUCCCACUCCCACGGCUGCUUUGCAAGGACAGUGUUAAUGAUCCUCACUUUGUAAACAAGGAAAACUGAAGCUCAGAAAGGAGGGAUGGAGGGCGGUAAGGUUGGGCAUCCUACACAUAUGGUGAUAUCAUUGAACAUUUUGUGUUGAAGAAUGAUGGAGUGUUGAACACAGAAUCAGAGAAUUUUACUUUAUUUU
rnacentral:lncRNA from 10 species